AGCGAACGCUGGCGGCAGGCCUAACACAUGCAAGUCGAACGAACUCUUCGGAGUUAGUGGCGGACGGGUGAGUAACACGUGGGAACGUGCCUUUUGGUUCGGAAUAACUCAGGGAAACUUGUGCUAAUACCGAAUGUGCCCUUCGGGGGAAAGAUUUAUCGCCAUUAGAGCGGCCCGCGUCUGAUUAGCUAGUUGGUGAGGUAAAAGCUCACCAAGGCGACGAUCAGUAGCUGGUCUGAGAGGAUGACCAGCCACACUGGGACUGAGACACGGCCCAGACUCCUACGGGAGGCAGCAGUGGGGAAUCUUGCGCAAUGGGCGAAAGCCUGACGCAGCCAUGCCGCGUGAAUGAUGAAGGUCUUAGGAUUGUAAAAUUCUUUCACCGGGGACGAUAAUGACGGUACCCGGAGAAGAAGCCCCGGCUAACUUCGUGCCAGCCGCCGCUGUAAUAC
rnacentral:rRNA from 1 species